AAUAGAUACCCAGGUAGUCCACGCCGUAAACGGUGGGUACUAGGUGUGGGUUCUUUCCUAAGGAUCCGUGCCGUAGCUAACGCAUUAAGUACCCCGCCUGGGGAGUACGGCCGCAAGGCUAAAACUCAAAGGAAUUGACGGGGGCCCGCACAAGCGGCGGAGCAUGUGGAUUAAUUCGAUGCAACGCGAAGAACCUUACCUGGGUUUGACAUGCACAGGACGCGUCUAGAGAUAGGCGUUCCCUUGUGGCCUGUGUGCAGGUGGUGCAUGGCUAUCGUCAGCUCGUGUCGUGAGAUGUUGGGUUAAGUCCCGCAACGAGCGCAACCCUCGUCCCAUGUUGCCAGCGGGUGAUGCCGGGGACUCAUGGGAGACUGCCGGGGUCAACUCGGAGGAAGGUGGGGAUGACGUCAAGCCAUCAUGCCCCUUAUGUCCAGGGCUUCACACAUGCUACAAUGGCCGGUACAGAGGGCUGCGAAGCCGUGAGGUGGAGCGAAUCCCAGAAAGCCGGUCUCAGUUCGGAUCGGGGU
rnacentral:rRNA from 1 species